CCUACGGGUGGCUGCAGUGGGGAAUAUUGCACAAUGGGGGAAACCCUGAUGCAGCGACGCCGCGUGAGGGAUGAAGUAUUUCUGUAUGUAAAGCUCUAUCAGCAGGGAAGAUAAUGACGGUACCUGACUAAGAAGCUCCGUCUAAAUACGGGCCAGCAGGCGCGGUAAUACGUAUGGAGCCAGCGUUAUCCGGAUUUACUGGGUGUAAAGGGGGCGACGACGGGAGGGUAAGGCUGAUGUGAAAGUCCGGGGCUCAACCCCGGGACUGCAGUGGAGACUGGCCGGCUAGAGUGCAGGAGAGGUAAGUGGAAUUCCUGGUGUAGCGGUGAAAUGCGUAGAUAUUAGGAGGAACACCAGUGGCGAAGGCGGCUUACUGGACUGUAACUGACGUUGAGGCUCGAAAGCGUGGGGAGCAAACAGGAUUAGAUACCCUUGUAGUC
rnacentral:rRNA from 1 species